CCGAGCGAGGGCCUCCGGGUCCGACCUCCAACCCCAUGUCAUCCGACCCUGUUGCCUCGGGGGCGACCCGGCGCCGGCCGUUCGCGGCCGCCCGGGGCCCCCGGUGGACCCCUCAACGCUGCAUCUUUGCGUCCGAGUCUGAUUUGAAUCAAUCA
rnacentral:misc_RNA from 1 species